CUGGGUUAGGUGCUGGGAGAUAGAGGAUUCCCUUUUGUAAUUCCCCUUAGUUCAUCAGUGCUUGUAUAUUGUCAAGCCCACUGGGGCUCAGAUUCUGUUUAGAAGCACCCAGACCUUAGCAAUAUCUCAGUGAUUAUAGUUAAGAUGUUGAUCUUCCGAAUGGCUGAUAAUCAUUACUGAAAGAGCAGACCAAUUUCCAUUGAGGACUUACAAACAAACAAGCAAAAUAUUCUCUCUCAAAGGGAACAUGAAAGGAGAGGGAGAGUUGGCUGCCAGCUGCGGUGUUUUCCUGGCAGCAUCACAGUCUGUUUCCAUAUACAGGUACCUAUCAUAACUGGCUGUCAUUUGCUACCUGGUGUUAUUCUUUUCCACUGCAUGCAGGCUCCUCUGCCUACUUCAAGGAAAGGCUACUCAGGCUUCAUCAGGGGAAAGCUACAAAGCGGAUAGGAGAGGAACAGCAACUGCAUGUGGGUCCAGAGAAUGUCUACAGGAAAGAAGAUGCUCAGAAACAGCACAAGGAAAGUGUAGCCAGUUGUGUCCUUCUGUGAGACGAGGAGGGUUUGAGUCAUGACUGAGUGGAGCACUCUGAAGUGAAGUCUCGGAGCUAUUCGCAAGCUUCAAAAUAAAUCAUCUCCGUUGAUGUGUGACAUCAUGCCUCCAAGUCAGCAUCACAGGGGAAACUUCAGCGUACGCCGAUAU
ensembl:lncRNA